GAGCGGGGAGAGCCGCCGUCCCGCGCACCGCCCCGGUUCCGGUUGGGAGGAGGCGGUGCCCGGCCCGGCGGGCAGCGCUCCUGGGGAGCUGCGAGGCGGGCUCCGGUCACCUCCGUCGGUCGGGGCUGUGUGUGAGGGGCUGGAGUCCGCCAGAGGCGUUCUAACGCGCGUGGUGCUGAAGGUCACGCGUUAAAACCGCUCUUAAAGAUCCGAGCGCUUGGGGCGUUUCGUCAGACAGAAUGUUAAUGUUAGUGCCGGCCCGGUCUGCUUCUCUCUAGGGAUGUCCAAUGGACGGGCUGGGAAAGUGACAGUAUGCAGCUCUUAACCAUGAAGGUAUUUACUCCGCAUCAUCAUCUCCUAAGCUCCAGACACGAGGAAAUACAGCUCCAAGGUUAUUUGUAGGUGGAAGUGACACUGAGUCUUGAAAGAUUUCACAGGGGCAUUAUUUAAGCCAAAAAAGCAAGGACUUAUGACAUAACACUGAUAGAGCAGCUUCAUAGAGCAGUGCCAGCAAUCUUUGUAGAGGCAAAGUAAAAGGAAUAACUCAAGGUUGAUACGACAGAAAAAGUUACAAAAAGGUGGAUGUGAAGAAAAAAGGUUUGGGGGACUCCUGGGAAGGCUAGAAUGUACAUUUUAAUAAAUAACUGCUCACUUUGAUCGUUUUCUUUAUCUAUGGUAAAAGGAGCUAGUAAUAUUCUGUGGAGGUAAAAUCCAUCCAGUAAAUUAGAUAUGCACUUAUAAUGCGUGUCUUAAAAGAUAACUGAUUAUCCGGAAUUCAUUUUAGCCCUAUGUCCUGUAGGAAUUCCUUUAUUUUCAGAAUAGUCUAAGCAUUUAAAUUGUAGGAAUGGUUCAGGGAUGUGGACAGCAAUUAUCCUCAGCAGAAAACUGCUUUUGAUGUAGCUUCCUGACGGUUUGCCUCCCUGAAUUGGUAGGAAUGCAUGCAGUGGGAUAGAGAUCUAUCAGUGGCAGUCAUCAGACUGGCUGUUUGAGCCUGAGUUUCAUCUCACCUGAGCUUGAACACAUACUAUGUAUCUUUUCCUACUGAAUGGGUUACCCUAGGCAGCUGCUACUGCAGCCAGUGGAGAUAGUCGUUUGUCAGCCAUCAUUCAUAUGCCCUCUUUUAGACAAGUACUCAGUAUACAUGAUUUGUGUCCAGUUGCUGCACUGACUAGAUCUCUACAUCUCCAAUUAGUCAGGUUCAUUCGGCUUGGACCAUCUAUCUCUAAGGGGAGGUGGGUGGAGGGAGCCAAGAAACUGUAAACUGGUCAGUAGAACUUUGAUUCCAAAAUGGAUAGGAGAAAAAAUACACCGAUUUUCAGUUAUUAGAGGAAAGAAAGAUCACCGGUAACAGCCAACGUGUAUGAACAACACCAAGUGAAUCUCAGUCACUUUAGUAACAAGCUGGAAGUCUUGCAGUAGGCAGAUGCAGUGUGAGUUAACGAGACUACUGACACUAUCUCGCAUGACACUCUCCUAAGAGUCCAGAUGAAACUGCUGCUAAAGGUCAGAGCCAUACUCACAAGGAAGGCAGUAACAUUUCUUUAUCUAACUGGGAGGGUAUAAGAGAGGAUUCCAUGGAAGGCUGUGUUCUGUCUAAUGUCGUUCAGUGUUUUCACUGGUGACUGAGUGCAGGAAUAAUGAAUAAGCACAUUUUCAGGUGAUCCAGUACUAAGAGAAGCUGUACCUUUAUGGAUAGCCUUACUUAAUAAACUUAGAUAAUCCUGAGAAUUCCCGAAAUGCUUUGAAAAGUAGGAUGCACGUUGGUGUGGGUAAGUACAGAGCUAUACACAAGUAAGAAUAACCAAAAAUAAAAGGAGAAAAGACUGGCUUUCAGCAGUCAUGCAAAGAAAUGACCAAAGAAUGAAAGUAGAUGUCAGACACAAAUGUCAAAUUCAUGGAAAAAAAAAUCACACUAUCUACUAAAGUUUUACAGGUAAGACAUGGAAGUCUGUUCUACGCGUUUGUUGAUUAGAUACCAGCUAGGGUUUUGGAUUCCAUUUUGGGCAUUGAACUCGAGAAUAAACGAAGAGAAUCCAAGGAAAAGCAACUCAACUCAAUAUAGGAGUUGAGAAAACACGACGUGUAAAGAAAGACUUGAAAACCUCCUCGAACAAAGAGGAACAAAAGAAAAAAAAAUCACAGGUUCCAAAAUGCAAUAUAUUCUUGCAAGAAGGAAAGUGAUAAACUAUUUUCUGGAUCCUCAGGUUAUGGAAUAAGAAAUUCUCUGCUUAGCCUUUAGCAAGGAGGUCUUUGCUUGGACUUUGGGAGAACUUUCUGAAUGUGACAGUGAAGCACCAUUAGUUGAUUGUGCUGGGGGUGGGUGGGGUGAGAGGAAUGAAUUUUUGAAGUCCUUUCUAGACUUAUUUUCUUUUGUUUCUAUUUCUGUCCAGUCUUUACAAAAAUAUAUUUAGUCUUAAUAUGGGAAUUCAAUGAGAAAACUUUGUUUUGUACGAAAGUCAAAGUCUACAUGCAACCUAAUAGAACCGGAACUCUGCUUUGCUUCUCUCUCCAAGUGGCUUUAAUUCUAGAUUAGAAAAACACUAAAACAAGCAUUAUUUGAGUAAUAGAAAAGAUGACUCAUUAGUCUUUGAUAACUAGGUCGGAAUAGAAAAAAAACAACUGAAAAAUGCUGCUGCAAAUCACAAGUCUGCGUGGAACGGACUGAAGCAUUGCCACAAACAUAGUGUGUGUCCUUUGGUAAGAAAUAGGCGUUUUCAGUUAAAUUCAAGGCUGCCUGCCUCCAAGCUGUGCCUGACCUUUCUCCAUCAUUCUGUUCUGAUCACUGAAAGCUUUGCUGAGACUGAUAUAUGCCGGGGUGCCACCUGUUCAGCUCAUAGUUCAGCAGUAAAACAGAAUGCCCUUCGAAGUACUUCAAAAGGAAAAAAAAAUGACUUACCUUAUAAAACCUAAUGGAUUGAAGAGCAACAAGAAGGAAUUCCCAUCUAAAUGCAAAUCAAGACAAACCCAUUUGGAAUGCAAGAGUAAACUACAAAUGGUAAUUUUCCCACCGUUCACUAGUGCUGCUUACAAUUACAGUUCUAUACAAUCCAAGUAGUCUAACAGCUCUUCUCCUGAUGAGCUGUCAAUGAACAGUUUAGAUUUUUUCUAAAUAUAUGCCAUAGAUAUGCUUAUUCUGUAGCGAUCUGUUUGUGCAAAGUGAAUUUUAAGAACUUACUGCUUAUUUUUAGUUUAAUUUAGUCUGGUUUAUGAAGUGGAAAGAGACAAAAAUUAUCAGAAAAAAAGGGUUUCAUCUGCUGGUUACUGUAAAUUAAGCUCCCACUUGUUUUCUGCUAGAGUGUGAUAACUGAUACCAGUGGUCUACAACAGCUGAAAAGGCUGGGAUCAGCGAGGCUGAGGUUAGGAUCCCAUCCUGGAUCCCUUCUGCAUUUACAAAUGCUAACUGCAUGGUGAAGAGGAUGACUGUAGGAUGGCCGACUGAGUGCCUGCUGUGUGAUGAGAGAACAGGGUCAAUCCCAGUGCAGAGUUCUGGUCCUGGUUCUGAUGCAAAGUCCUCCUUACCUCAAAGACCUUGGAGUAAACAGAGCAGCUGUGCAGAAGUGUAGUUUCUACCAUUUACUCUAAGGAAACUCUGUUGCAGCACCAAACAAACUAGUAAGGAGGGGGAUGACUCAUACAAAAUACUGGAUUCAAGUUUUUUCUUCCUGUACCUGGAAGAAAUGCAAUAACAUUUGCUCUAGUCUCAGAAGGCUUUUGAGAUAUUAGAUGCUGUAGUCAUUCCAGUGUAGUAUGUAUAAAUGAAGAUAGUGGCAACACAGAGAUUACAAUACAUUUAGAACACAGGGACCAAAUCCCAGCAAUGCCUGGCACUAAAAAUGCUCUCAGCAUCAUUGAUUUAUCUUCUCCACUGGAUCCUGACCGGUGGCAGCUCAGCACUCUAUCUUACAGAGGCCCUAAAUAAAUUGAGAGAGAGCUGUCCUGCAGCAGGUAUGAAAGUGAUGGGGCAAGUUGUGUCUGCUCUCUAUGUAUUUCUGUUAUUGUACAGUGAGAUUAAAGAUGAUUCUGGUGGUUUCUUUUUACAACAGCUCUAACAGACUUUGCCACUCGAGCCAGAAAGGCUUUUUUCCUUCAUCCCAAUGCCAUCAGAAUAAGAAUCCAUCAGUAGUCCUAAUGAGGAGUCUGCUGGCAUGGAAUACAGAUUAACUAUGUAUUGCUUUUAUGUUUCAUAGGUAGUAACUAGCCUUCCACCGAACUGCAUUUGUAUCCUCACGCAUAACAGAACCUAUAACAUUAAUUACUUUACAGAGUUAAUUAUUACUGAUCAGCAGUCCCUGCUGGGGAUCUUUAGUAGGUUAAACGGAUAACAGAAUUGGAACAACAAUAAAAUUUAGCCUUAAAAAAAGAAAAGAGUAUAGAAGCAUGUUCAGCACUAGGGAAGAUGUUGAAAUAUAUGGUGUGCAUUUACAGCAAAUCUUCACUGCAAUUACAGCACGGAGUGUUGACAUCCUAUUACCCCGAAGACAUACAGACUGAAUGUGGAGAGUGAUUUCCCAUUUUUAGUGGAAAGCCCUACCUAAAUAUUUCUGUAUGGAACAAUCCCAGUGAGUUCUGUCACCGACUGGAUUGAGAAACAGGUCGGGUUUACGAAACUUCUUUUGAUCUAACAUCAGAAACGAAGAACCUGCCUCGUGUGAGAACACUGCCCUAUAACACUGUCGCUUUGUUUGAGAAGAAAAAUUGUUUUCCAGUGACACAAGAGUUAAGCGAUUCUAAAAACAUAAACUUCGAAGGAAGUAAACAAGCAAGUUAUAGCCUAGAUCACCAGUUAAACUCUUUAAGAGAAACAGAGACAGAAGUGGAGAGGAGGCAGCACUUGUUUGCACAACCUCUUAUCUCCGGUGGUAUUUCUGAGCCUGUCUCACUCUGCAGCUCUGAUAGAGUUUUGAGUCCGCGAUAUCAAAGAAACCUUCUCUAACUAAGCCUCUGUGGGCAACAUUAAUUCCUGUAGAAUAUAGGUGGAGGCUGACUCAGUAUUAUUAGCAUGAGAUGUUGUUAAUCAAACAGCACGACAAUUAAAAUUCCGUCCUUUUUAACACAAAUUUAAAAACAAAAAACAUUUUGUACUUGGGAGGGGCUGACUAGAGGUUGUUUAGAAGAAUACUGAUGUCCCAGCUAGUGCUACUUCUGCAAACAGGAGGAUGUCACUUAGCAGCUUAAAGUAUUCCAGAGCUCUUAAGUAUUCUUGUCUUAAAUGUUUGUUAUCAUAUAUGCUUGAAAAGAAAUGCUUUAAUUUUUUUCACACGCAUUCUUUUUGAAAUAGGACUCUAUUAUCUUGUUGGCUGAGGAGAAAUUAUUGCUGAAGAAAGUAGACCUUUCUGGUUGUGACAAAUGUACUGUUUUUUUUGGUUUAAUGAAGCUAAAUCAUUGGUAAAAAGCAGGUAAGCAUUGACUGAUUUGAAGUGGAUGGAGGAAUAAGUGUGAGCCCACAUUUACCUGACGCUUCCUUCACAGGCAUGGAGUACAGAAGGAUUAGUUGUGUUAGUUAAAGUUAAGCACUUAGUUAAGUACUGUUGCUGGAUUGAGGCCAGAGUCCUGCAUAAUGCUCCACAGAGCAGAGGCUGCUGAGGAUAACAAAUUUAAAAUAAAAUACUAAGAGGCAAAUCUGAUUUGGAUAAACAUUUACUAUACACCAUUUCACUUUCUUCAUCGUAGUGUUGUGUUUCAAAGCCUUGCUCGUGGGUAGUGGCUCCACUGUGCAAACACUUACUGUGCCAGCUUUCAGUGAUGGUAUUUUUUAAACCUAAAAUUAAAUAAUCUUUCCCUAAUAAAGCCUGAAGAUAACUGAUGCCAUACUUCAGGCUUGAGUGAGGCCUGCAAAAUUCUGGUAACCUGUUAGUAGUCUACCAUCAAAAUGGCGUUUCCAUGAUCAUCAGUUGAUCUCAAAGCCUGGCAGCAGAUAGCUGUGCCUGGACACGAGCAGGAUGGUGCAGGUGAGAGCUGCUGGGGUGGCUUACUGAAAGAUAGAGGCGGUCUUCAGCUCAGAGCUGGAUCAGCCACCAUCUUGGCAAAACUUCUAGAAAUUGACAUACACCUGGACUGAACAAAUAAUUCACUCUGCAACUUCAACGUAGAGCCCGUGGUUGACUUGUAAUCUUCAAACAGAUCAUUUUUUUGACAGAAAGCUGUUCUUCAAGUGGCGCUCAAUUUGCAUAGCUUGAGGAAACUGGCCUUCCUCUGAAUUAUUCUCAUAUCUACUGCUGAUCACUCCGGGCAAAAUUGUUGUGUACUGCUUCUCUUUUUUUGUUCUGCAUAAAAGAAAUCUGCCAUGACAGCAUCAUGCAAUGGAUAUCUUCCUUCUCUCAUGCAUGCUUUCCCUUUUGGCAGCCUAUUAACUAUAUCGUUCCAUCACUUUAGGUACAUUACAAGUGAAACCAGAUCUUCCAUGCACUGGUUCUGUGGUUUGAUACCAUCUGAAAGGGGCUGAAGUAAGGACUGUGUUGAGCAAGAAGCGUAUCAAGUGCUUCAGCUAAAUGUUUUAUGACUGCAAACAGUACCAUAAAUAGAUGUAGAAAUACUGAUAAGGCCUUUCCCUGUAUUCCAUGAACCAGAACUGAAAAAAAAAUAAAAUUUGUUCAAUGUUAAGGACCUGAGAUACACCUCCAGCUUGACACCAUGCUUACGUUACUGCAGAGUCUAUGCAAACAUGGACAAAAAAGCAUGUUGAUGGUCAGUGGGUGCUCACAGUGUGGAUAUGGUAAACACUGGGUGUCAUGCACAUAAGCUUAGAGGCAGAUUCACUGUUCAGCAGUCUGUGUGAGGAUAGUUCUGUUUUAACAUAGUGUGAUAUCUUUCAGCAAUCAAUAUCAUGACAAUGGACCAUCUAAAUUGUCAUUACCGGUAAGGUAAUGAGCAAAUCUAGCCUUUCCAAAGCCAGUGGAAUAAUUGUUGCUAACUUUAGUACAGUCAGAAUUACACUUAGAGAAUUUAAUAUAUCUACGUUAUAUAUAUAUAUGUUAUAUAUAUACACUAAAUUGUAUAUAAGGUCUCCAGAGAUGCUGCUUAUUUUCUGAAGCACAAUUAAGUAGCAGACUGGAAAUUUAGUGUCAGUUUCAAUUAAAUGGAAAAAAAAAUGAAGUUGAAUAUUAAAUUAAAUAAUGCAUUCAGUAGGUUGAGAUUAAAGUGGCUGUUUCUGCCAGAGUGGUCAUAUUUCAAAGUCAAUCAGCUUUAGGAACCAAGAGCAUCGUCAUUGGAGAUGGAGUUUUCUGAGAGCUAUGGACCUCUGUGUGAGGGACGCAACCUCUGUCUUGUGCUGGAUGUCACUGGGAGCCAGAAAGUGCUCCUAGAGCAGUGUUGGCACUGCAGAAAGGAAACUGCUGCUGGGUAAUCCCAAGAACACACUCUAACCGUGGCCAUUUGGAUGAAGUGUUGGAGUUUCAGCUGGGUUCUUAAGAUGUCCAAGUAAGGCCUGGUGGGUGAGAGACAGCAAGGGACAUUCCUGAAAGAAGGGCAGCUGAUUUGGCUUUGACAUUUCAGUGGCUGUUAUAUUCUUUUUUAGUUUGUUUGGAUGAUAUUUCGAGCUCUUGGGAAAGGCACACCAAGUUCAGAAUAGAAGCUUGGCUAUAGAUCUCUAGAACAGUAUUUAUUUAAGGUUGUUCAUCAACUUGGAUAGGCAUUUUGUUUAUCCACAUUUUUAAAGUAAUUCCAUAGGUAAUUGUGAUAGAAACCAGUAAAAAUGAGCAAAUCCAGUGCACAACAUCAAAUCUGAAGAAUAUGUGUAUGUAUACCAAUUUGUAUACAGUCUGCAGGACAGUAUGUCCUAUGGUAAUUCUUUGAAAGCUAUGUGUUCCCAAGGAUGUCUGACCCAUUUUAAACCAAGCUCUAAAAUAAGCAUAGAAAUCAGAAAAGCAGCCUACUUUGUAAUGAUCUUUUGCAUAAAUCUUGAUGUGCUCUGAAAACAUGAUAGCUUUCUGUACAUUAUUAUACAUUAUUAUUGUCUGUAAUGUAAAAGGCUGCCGCUAUAAUCUUUAAACACAACGUGCUAUCUAUAGUUAUCUUAAGCCACUUACGUCUCCUGUUCUAAGAAUAUCUGUGCUCUGAAGAACUUUUUAAUGUAUCUGUGUGACUUAAGGAAGUGUUACACUGCAAUUUUUAUAAAUGGGAAACUGAGGCACCGGGAGACCAAGGGACAUAGUGAUAAUCACGUCAGAGAUCUCUGAUGGGGCGAAUAUGUGCAGCCAGCUCCCUGAUCUCUAUGGCAUGCCCUAGCUACUGACGCUGUGUUUUUCCCUUUUUCAAACUCUUUGUUUUUUGUUACCACUCUGUAACUGAAAAGAGAAAAAAACUUGAAUUCAAAGAACUAAAACAGCAACAGCCAUGUUUGGGGCCAUGAGGAAGAGAUGGAAGAGCAAGGAAAUGACCCUUUACUUCAACAUGUGACCUCUGUAUCAGUAAAAUCUUGGGUACUGGAAGAACCCAUUUGGUGACCCGCUUGUAUGAUGUCCUUCUGUACUGCAGUGGUGCUCAGUGGCAUCUUGCUGUCCCUUUCUGAAGACAUAUUGCAGGACAGAAAGCUGCGCGCUCUGUAGAAACUACUUCUCACUGUGCUUCCUAAGAAAGCAGCUUUGGCAGCGUCCUGUCCCUGUGUGCAACACAGCUGCUGGGAUGCACUCAGGUGGUCAUUGUCAGCACGCUUAAGGGAAAGUGGCAGGAGAGGAACCUGGUGUCUUCUCUUAUAAAAUGCUCAUGCUUCUUCACUAGCUGCUUCCAUCUAUGUCAGGAGCUGGGUGCUGAGGUAGUGCACACCACGAAUGUUUGCAUGUAAAUAUGGUCCAAAUGCCCACGGCUUGAAAGGCAAACACACACCAGCAGGCAGACAGUGACCUUGCAGCUGCUGCUCUCCUUGCCACUCAGCGAUCAGCUGUUUCCCAUUGUCACCAGCAGCUUUCUUCUAUCCUGAUUCUCAUGCUCGUUCCAUCAUUUACUCUGUAUUGAAUCUCUCAUGUUUUCCCCAAUUCUUUUUCCAUCCUCUGUCUGUCCAUCAACUUUCAUCUCCACUUGUGCUAGUCAUUUGUAAGGGUUUUAAAAGCCAGUAGGAACUGUACAAAGACCCCGACCGAGCAAAGUGGCCGACGUGCACAUUGCUUUAAUGCUCUGGUACUGCUGAAUCCAUCCAGACCACCAACGUACUUAAAAUUGACCGCACUUUUAAGUGCUUUCCUGGAUCGAGGCCAUCAUCACAUUGACUUAAAACAAAACAGCACCUGAGAUUCAGCAACAUAAAUACAUAGCAACCUCAACCAAACUCAGCACUUAACCUUCAGAUUACCUUUCUUCAGUGCCUUCUGUCAUCGCUAGCUAUGUUAUGGCUACACUUAAAACCCAUUCUGCAAGUACAUACUGGACGUAGUGCUUAGGAACGAUCCUGUUUGAGCCAAUGCUUAUGGUUUUAGAAUUUGCCCGGCCUGCUUGCUAGAUCAGGCUCUUGGACAAUGAGGUCCUCAGGGCAAGAGUCAUGUUUAUUUCUCUGCUGAAAUCAUCUGUGCUCAUAUACCACAAAACAGCAAUUAGUAACCUUCUGUUCUGAGGUACAAGGAAGAAGGAUUUCUGCGUGCCACCGGCACCCCGCCUUGUGCAGCUAUGAGGUAAAAGUGUGCUAAGUAUAAGCACAGAAAGCAGAGAUGCUAACCUUGGCACUGGCAAUUAUUUGUAACCCUACCCAUGCAAAGAGGCCAAACGAGUGCCUCCGCUCCGUAAUGCUGCUGCCUCCUCACUCUGCUGACCGUGUGCCUUUCACCUGUUUUAUUGUCUGAUUAGGAAUCAGGCUCUGUGAUCCAUGUGGAUCCCUUCCACGGCAGGAGAUGUGGUAAUUCUGUGAUGCUACGCUCUGUUACUUCACCUUUCUACGCUUCAGCUUACAAGCCCCGCGUGGUAGGACUGCUGUUCUUUGUUAAUCAUAAAAUACGAUUAUUCAUACCUCGGGCAUCGCACAAAUCAUUAUUGUCUUCCUAAAAAUGUCUUCUGCAUGGCCCCGCCCUCAGUGCCCGCUAAGAAUGCUGUUGGGAACAUGCUCAAGGAAUAAAUAUUUUGCAUUCAUUUCGGGAGCACAAUGGAAACAUUUUUCCAAGCUGCUGCCAAGAUGGUAUCUGCUCCUCCUCUGAGUCAGCAGCCCAUGCAGCUGACUUUGAAAUGGCCAAACUUGGUUGAUUGUUAUCUUAAAAGAAAAAAAAACACAGACAGAAGCUGUGUUUCUGCAGAGCCGUGUUGCUCUCCUCAUGGACAGUGACACUAAAAUACGAAUGCCGCGGUGCAGGAGCUGCACAGAAGGAAGGGUUGCUUGUGAUGUCCCUCUUUGCUCUCCUAACUUCAGCAUUUUGUUUCAUCCGGACAGAGGAAGGGGUAAGGCAGUGUCGUGGGGAGAAGAGAAAGGAACAUUGCUGCUUUGUGCAGCCCGUGCCCUUUUGGUAUCAGCCAGGGAUUUACAUUCUGUAGAGCUCUGCUGGCUGUUAAAGAUGGCGUAUCUAAAAAUACAAGAUGGACGAAACCGAGCUAAGAGAGAUGGAGAUGGAUGAGGAAUUCACUGAGUUCCCUCCCAAGGAUCCCAGCCUGUGCAGCAUUUUUUCCUUCCUAUAGCUGUAUUUUCCAUCCAGCCGAAUACACGAGAAGGAAUGGUGCAACAGAGAAGUUUCAGAAGUGUGCAUGCAAAGCUCUCUUUGGGUGGAAAGACUUUGGUUUAUAUUCCUUGCUGCUCUGUGCACAAACACACGUGGUACGUCAUUGUCUUCCCGAGAUACAGUUGGUAAGAAACUGGCAGCAGCGCUCUGUUACAUUGCACCUUUACCUUAAAUCAGAAAUGAGCUAUCGGGUUGUGAUCACUAACAGAGCUCACUCCUACAAGAAGUUCCGCUCUCGUAGCAGAAUAACAGGACGCUUGUUAAAUUAACAAGUCUGAAAUGGAGAAGUAAGCUGUGACGCCAGAAUUCGGUUCAGUGGUAAAACCAGGCUGUAAAUCCUAACCCACCCCGUUACAUCAUGUCACAAAGCUGCCUGUUCCUAUAGGCGCAUGGAGUGGGUGCUUGGCUUUAGCCUUGUCGCACCACGCGUAGCGCGGGACGUAGGGUGAUAAUGGUAACUUUGCUUGCAACUUCAAACCAGUCGCUUCCUGUUCAGGAUUCUGGGGUCAUGAGUUUGGUGCCGAUGUGCGCUGUUGAAGAAACACACAGGUGCUCUGGUUUUAAUUGUCUUAGCUACUUAGAGUCUUAGAAGCACUGCCAAAGCAGCUGGGAAUUGGUGGGACUCAGCAUUUUGGCUGCUCGUCCCUUCUACCUGGCCUUUCUCCUUGGGCUCUCGGAGGAACAGGAAUCGCAGGAGUUGAUGCCGUUAAGAUAAAUUCGGCACAGAGUACGCCCAUAGAUAGCUGCGUAAAUUAGCUCUGCCAAAAAAGCCACAAGCUGACAGACAUGCAUUUCCUCAGGGCAACAAAAUUAUGCAAUAUAAAUUCUCUACAUCCUAUGAUUGAUUGCCAAGAAUCUGAACGCUGCGACCGGAAUACAAUUACAUUAGGAAACCGACAUUACAGGAGCUUCUGAAUGUAUUUUUUUUCCUCCUAAACCAACUAAGUAAUUCUAGAAUAAGCAAAUUAACCAAUCUAAAUUGUUAGCAAGAUGUCUGUUGUGUAUUUUAAAAGGGGAUAAAAAUACCAAAUGUGGUAAAAAAAAAAAUAAGACUAAUGGGGAGGAGGUAAAGGGACGGAACAGAAUAUUGGUAGAAUGGGUCUGUUCAGUUCCGAGUGAGUUUGCUGGCUCAUUUAUAUUUUACUUCCCUCUGAAUCUCACUGUGGACUUCCCAAUGAUGUGAAGUCAUUCUGCUCAGUGGGGCCACCCUGACGCUCUGUCAAAGCAGACAAAACAAAUCAGGUGGGCUCAGGACGUUUUUUCCAUGAGUAUGGUGUGUAAUUGUUAAGUAAUUAAAUUACACAUUAUCACAGAGCUGUUGAUUUACUACGUUUGCAACUAAAUACUUACGUGCCAACUGCUGGACAAGUACAUUCCAUUUCUAAAUUGAAUGCACUUUCACACAGACUGCAGCAAUUGCAUUAGGGAGAAUGUUGCAACCCAGCUGGCUUCUUGCAGCCCAGAGGAUCUACUAGAGAGCAGAAUCAUCUCCCAGGAGGAGUGCUGGUAUUAAAGCACUUAGAACUAGUCUGGACACAGCAACACUGCCAGAGCUUUCUCAUUGGUAAAUGACAGCCUUGCUGGCUCUAGGUUCCGUGAUCAGUUUACUGUGGUAUAAAUCAAAGCUGAAUCAGGGUAAUGCCUUGGCACUCAUUUACUUCCUUAAACCACAUGAAUGCUGAAAUAGAGAGCUCUUGCAGACUGGAUUCCAUUUCUCCCAGCCUGUGUUUUUUUUUUUUUUCUUUUUUUUUUUUUUCUUAAGACUAAAUCAGAAUCAAAGAGCAUUUUCAGUUCUCUUCAUCAGAUUUAAAUCUCUUUAAUCAGCCACCCUGAUCGUGGUGCUCUGAUAGGUGCCAUGGCUUUUUGGAGAGAGCCAGACGGGAGGACCUGCUGCACAUAUCCUGGUUCCCAGGCUGGCUGCCAGCAGCAGGGUGUGAUGUAAGAGUCUUUCACGCCGAACAAGUUAACAGCCCUGUUUUUGAGUUUACUACAUUCUGGCUGAGAAACAGCAUGAAUAGCCUCGCAGGGAAAUGCUGCUGCUGAGCAAGCAGGUGGCUGCAGAAACCAUUUUCUAGUUCCCUCCGUGUGUCUGCCACUGGCAGGGAGAGGCCCGGUUGCAGACUGUACUUCUCCUCUUCCAUGAGCUGAGCAGCGGUGUCUGUGUAAAAUGGAUGCUGACUGUGUCUUCCAGCUUCUCCUGCGUCCUGCAUGUGUGGCUUGAAGAGGAGGUGCUGACACAAGCUUGGUGUAGGUCUCAGACUGUCUUCUGCCUGAGACGGUCUCUUUUUAAGAAAAUUCUGGGAAAGUAUUAGGCUUGGAAGUUGGUUAGAGAGCAGUGGUUCAAGGUAUGGAAGGGGCUGUCUGUGAGUAUGUUCUGCCUUUGUCCCUUCUGAGCAGAGGGAGCCCAGCUCAUGUUUUUCACCAAAGGAGAGCUCUGUCUGGAGCUGGCAUCUCACUCUGGCCAUGACUCUUCUCAUGCAGAGAAAGAGGAAACUCAUAAAGGCCAGGAAAUGAUGUACCACAAAAAUGCAUGUGUUUGCAGGAGACAGAAUACUGCUAUUCUCAUGGUGCCUUAGGUGUCAAUGGAAGACAAAAGGACAAAAUGAGAAGGAUGCAACCACACUGAGCUCAACACGCUGCGUUCAUCUUCAAAACUGGGCAAAGCGGAAACAGGGAAAACGAGUUGAUUACUGAACUUGCAACCUCUCUGCAUUCCUUUCAUGGUUAGUAAUGCCGCAUUAGAGGGGAGUUAUCAUUCACCACUUAACUGCCUGAAGGUUACACAGUCCAAACAACACAAGGCCAAAGUACGGAGCCAUGAACUGUACAGCAAAAAAUCGAGUCGCUCCUUCCCUAUUUCAUGUGGGGCACGCUAAUCUGUUGGCGUAGCUUUGAUCUCUUAUCAGCUGAUUUCUCAUUCUGACCUCCUAACUCCGCCACCAGGAACACCUCUGCAGCCAGGGGGACGCCUGCGAGUGCUGCUGCCGUGGGCCAUCCCAGCCUGGCACGUCUGCUUUGGGCACCCAGCAGAAACGCAGCAUCCGGAGUCCCUCUGGUGCAGAGUGCUGACCAACCCACUGAAGAACUGAUUUAUCCUCUCUGAGAUACAGAGACAACCAACAUAAGCGGCUCAGAUAGGUUUCUAAAGUUAGGCGGGGUAAAUCCAGGCCUGAGUGAUUAUGGCAGACAUCCAUUUAGCAUGGGGUCAGCUGCUGAGGUCCGUGCACUGCGGUGAGAUGCUCCCUGUAGAAGCAGCGUCUCCCUCAGUCAGGGACUGUCUCCCACUUUUUAUUCCCAUCACCAGAAUAAAAGGGUUGAAAAUCACAGCAAGAUACACGCUAAGUGCUACCAAAACACACAAGUGCUGAUUACAUCGGCUGGGAAGCAAAUAUCUUUAUUCUUCUCUAUUUUUGAGGACAUUCAGCCAUUCAGUGCCGCAGCCUCAGACGUAUAAAAAGCAAGCACACCAUCAGCUUCAAAGGCAAGUGGCUGUAAAAAUGGGCUAAAAUGAGUUCCAAGUCCUGGUGCUACACGUUCCUGUACUCAUCCACUAUUCUGUUUGCUGGGUUUUUUUUUUUCCAGCCAUACUUCCAGCUCUGGCUCCACGAGUUCCUCUUUGCUAUUGCAGCGUAUACCACAAUCGUGAAUCAUUUAUAAUAGUUUUAGGAUCGCACGCAUUAUCAUCACUAAUUAAACAAUGUAAUGAGAUUUAAGUUGACAGAGCCCUUGUAGAUAAGAGUCAACCUCUCGUUUCAAUUGUCAGCAUAAAAGCUUCUCUGUCAUUAAACUGAACAUCUAACAGAGUGUCCACUGUGAAGCCAUUCACCCUAUAAUUUAUAAUGCUUUUAAGAUUUUUGGAAUCCUUAUGCCAAGAAACAGCGAUCUAAGUAAACAAGAAGUGAGCCUUGCUUUUUACAGAUCUGUUUACAUCUUCACUGUGAAAACAAGUAUUUAACCCAUGACUCAGAAUAACUGAAGUGUCUGAAAUGCAGUAUUCAGGGUGCUGUCACAAUUUGUAAGGGAACACGAAGGGAAAUAACUUAGAGGGACUGAAAGAUGCAACAGUCCCGGGUGAACCCCAUUGGGUUCAGCUUCAUGGCCUCCUGCAGGCGCUGAGCCCUUCCCUCCCAGCAGCUCCCCCUGUGCAAAGAGGCCUCUGUGGCCUCUGUUGAGAAUUAAACACGUGGGGCUCUGUUCCUUACUGACCUGUGGUUGCUGAUGUUGCUCCCACGUGAAACGAAAACCUAACGGUUCACCGCAGCCCUGCGCACUCACUCUUAUAAAUGAGAUAGAUAUAAAUGAGUGCAGAGGAUACGAAACAAAGAGAAGCAGGUGUUGUACAUCCUAUGUAACUUAUAUAUGUUUUUCUGCCUCUGUUGAAUGGGAGAUAAUUGAGUUCUAUAUAUUGAGUUUCCAUCCGGACUCUCUUGUACAGACACAGAACCACAACAGCUGAUAAAUACUUGCCAAGAAUUCUGUUUCUUUAUUGUCCCAAGCAGCAAAGAAUUAAAAACAAAUAAAAAAUAAAAAAUCUGCCUUUCAGUCACUGUUCUAGCAGAUACAAGAGACUCCUGGGUAGCGGCUGAGCAGAAACCACAUUCACACGCCAAGGAUAUGACCAACAGACUGAAGCCUACCACAAACAUCUCCGUGUCCUGCAAGCCCUUGAAUUUCAUAACUUGUGUAUCCCACGACUGCUCCUUACAUGGAAAGGCAGUGAGUAGUCUGGAGAAAGGCUACUGCUGGAGUUCCUAACUAUGAGUGUAGGAUUGAUAUUAUUCAGUAUUUUUAAUUCUUUACUUCUGCAUAGCAGCAGAACAGUAAGGUCUUUAUUUUGCAAGGAGCCUGGCUUCCUUAGUCUAAAACAACAAAGUUGGCUUUGGAUACAACAGGAUGUGAUGAGCAGUGAAAAUGUCUACUAUGUAUAGUAGCAAAUGAUCACAAACUACCCAUGAAAAAGGCAGGCUGAAAAUCAGAGACUUCCAGACCAAUGAGAAGGGCUCCCCAAACCAGGGCACGUGUUUUACUGGGAGUCUGUGAAGCCCUUGCAGGUGGUAUGUGCACCAGCACCCAGACACAUGCGGUAUAAUGGCUGCGGCCCCUCCUGUGGACGUGCUGGACACGAAGGAGGAAGUGUGGGACUGCUGGCUUAGCGUACCCAGAAGGCAGAGGAGCUCAGAAGAGGAGAACAGUGGUCACUGUGAGGCUGAGGCUGGCCAGAGGAGAGAAGGGGUGGCAAAGACAUGCAGUGCAGAUGUUACAGUGGAGAAUAUCAGAAGUUGGAAUUCAUGUUUUCCUGGAAUUGCUGAGUUUAUGCAUUCCCAGGAGCUAAAGAAACCACUCGUACAAAGACACUGCUACUACCUGGAGUCUGCUUAAAUACCCGGGUACCUCUGCCCUUCUUUACUGUGAGCUGGGGCGGACAGCAUGACAGCAACCACUGCCAUUAGACUGCAGUUGUCCCAGUGAUCUCAGACUCCUGAGGCAGCAGGAACUCAAAACCCUGCAGCUCACGCUGUGAAUUUCUUUUUGAUCUGCUCUCCUUGCCUGCUAGCCUUCUCAUCUGCUCCUUUCAAGGGAGAUAAAAGACGAUCCUAAAUCAAACUGUAUCUUUCUCUAAAGUGGCAUCUCAGCACUGCGUGCAGGACUCUGUAGCCACUGCAAAGCUCGUUUGAGCACAAUACAAAAAUGGGUUGCUAUUUCGUUAAAUCACAAGAGGAGCUCCCACCUCUGGAUUCCUAAUGCCUUACCGGCUGAACUCUGAGAGCUGAGACAAGUCUGAGGUAUAGGGCACACGAAAUUGUUCUCACUCCAUUCCACAGGAUGGACGCACCAGCUCUAGCUUGUGGUACAAUAAACAAUUUUACACACACCACUGCACAAUUCCCGGUGGAAAAGUGGACACAAG